rnacentral:misc_RNA from 1 species
GAUGAAGAACGUAGUGAAAUGCGAUAAGUAGUGUGAAUUGCAGAAUUCAGUGAAUCAUCGAAUCUUUGAACGCACAUUGCGCCCCUUGGUAUUCCAUGGGGCAUGCCUGUUCGAGCGUCAUUUGUACCUUCAAGCUCUGCUUGGUGUUGGGUGUUUGUCUCGCCUCUGCGUGUAGACUCGCCUCAAAAUAAUUGGCAGCCGGCGUAUUGAUUUCGGAGCGCAGUACAUCUCGCGCUUUGCACUCAUAACGACGACGUCCAAAAGUACAUUUUUACACUCUUGACCUCGGAUCAGGUAGGGAUACCCGCUGAACUUAAGCAUAUCAAUAGCGGAGGA